rnacentral:lncRNA from 1 species
UCUUUUAUCCUUACUUUUCUUAAUUAGUUCAUCUAUAAUUAUAGGCACCAAGACUACCAGGUGCUUGAAUGUGAGUAUGCAAAAGAGGCUUGAACUUUUUUGGCUCCUCUGCUGAUGCAGACAAAGCGUGAGGAUAAACAAAUUGCUUUUGCCGGGAAGAGCUUUACCAAAUUUAAGAAUCACAAUAACCUUGGCAAUGAAGGUUUGAGAUGAGUAGCUCAGGUCAUUUUAAAAGUAUGCAAAUCUCUACUAAGUUUCAUUCUAUUUGCUCGGAAUAUUUGAACUAUGUUGUCCUUCUGGCUUAUCAGGUAAAAAAAAAACAACAAUAGACUAUAUAACAGCUUGGAGGAGCGACACUGAUGAACUUGAUGAACUUGCAUUCAAUUUGGGAGGAGG